rnacentral:rRNA from 1 species
GACGAACCGUGCGAACGUUGUUCGGAUUCACUGGGCUUAAAGGGCGCGUAGGCGGGCCGGCAAGUCCGGGGUGAAAUCCCACGGCUCAACCGUGGAAUUGCCUUGGAUACUGUCGGUCUCGAGGGAGGUAGGGGCGUGUGGAACUUCCGGUGGAGCGGUGAAAUGCGUAGAUAUCGGAAGGAACGCCGGUGGCGAAAGCGACGCGCUGGACCUCUUCUGACGCUGAGGCGCGAAAGCCAGGGGAGCGAACGGG